rnacentral:rRNA from 1 species
UACGUAGGAUGCAAGCGUUGUCCGGAAUUAUUGGGCGUAAAGAGCUCGUAGGCGGUUUGUCGCGUCUGCCGUGAAAGUCCGGGGCUCAACUCCGGAUCUGCGGUGAGUACGGGCAGACUAGAGUGAUGUAGGGGAGACUGGAAUUCCUGGUGUAGCGGUGAAAUGCGCAGAUAUCAGGAGGAACACCGAUGGCGAAGGCAGGUCUCUGGGCAUUAACUGACGCUGGAGGAGCGAAAGCAUGGGGAGCGAACAGG